CUUUGCCAUUUAAAUUAUUUUCUAUUAAUUAUAUUAUUUAAGAACUGUCAGCCGGAUAUAUAUUUUAUCACAUUUAUUUACCUGGAGGUAAGGUAAAGUACCAUGAACAUGUUGUUGAUACAAAUCGUGCUUCCUUGCUGUAUUUUGUUUGAAUACGUCACAGGUUGAGGCAGAAACUCUAAGGGACCAAGAUUACAAGUUUACACGGCUUCAAAUGAUGAGGUAGAAAUGCCAGACAAUAAUAGACUUAAAUGCACAGAAAAUGAGACGCAAACCAUCGCAUGUCGGAACGGAGGAACAUGUUUCGCUUCGUACAUAGACUAUAGAUUUGUUCGCUGUGCAUGUUCAAAAAAAUACAUUGGUGAACGGUGUGAAAUGAUAGAUAUUAAUAUAAUUUUUAAAGGAGGACAAGAAAAGGAGGAAACAGCAAAAGCAGGCCUAUGGUUGAUUGGGUUGAUUGCUGGUAGUGUUACAUUUGGCUCAGUCAUUGUGUUUGUCUUAACAGUAUUGAUAAUUCUUCAUAUCCACCAAAGAAUAUGUAAAUAUUCGAAACCAGAGUAAUGAGGCGAAAGGAUAAAAUAUAAUAAAAUUAAAAGUUCAUCCGGUCGGCAUUCAAUCAAAAGAGAAGCUGUAAAAACGAGGGGCAAAUAAAGUUUUUUUUUUUUAAUUUUACAAUUCACUACAUAAAAAUAAACCUUUUUGGACCCAAAUUAUCUAGUUUGCAUAAUAAAUAUCAUGCAACACAA